rnacentral:rRNA from 1 species
CCCUUAGAUGUUCUGGGCAGCACGCGCGCUACAAUGGUCUUCGCAAACGGAUGCAUUCUCGAAGGGGAAUGCCAAUCUUGGAAUCUAUGCCUUGGUCGGGACAGUUGCUUGCAAUUUUUCGACUCGAACCAGGAAUUCCUUGUAAUCGUGAUUCAUCACAUCACGAUGAAUACGUCCCUGCCCUUUGUACACACCGCCCGUCGCUCCUACCGAUCGAAGAGUUAGGUGAAUUGUUUUGAUCGAUAAGAUUUGACUAUGGUCAACUCUCGUUGGGAAAUUCUGUGAAUCUGACUGUUUAGAGGAAGGAAAAGUCGUAACA